rnacentral:Y_RNA from 1 species
UGUUGGUCCAAGUGCUGUGGUGUUUACAACUAAUUGAUCACAACAAGUUAUAGAUUCCUUUGUUCCUUCUCCACUCCCACUGCUCCACUUGACCAGCCUAAA